rnacentral:rRNA from 1 species
CCCUUAGAUGUUCUGGGCCGCACGCGCGCUACACUGAUGCAUUCAACGAGCCUAUCCUUGACCGACAGGUCCGGGUAAUCUUUGAAUCUGCAUCGUGAUUGGGAUAGAUGAUUGCAAUUUUUCAUCUUCAACGAGGAAUGCCUAGUAAACGCAAGUCAUCAGCUUGCAUUGAUUACGUCCCUGCCCUUUGUACACACCGCCCGUCGCUCCUACCGAUUGAAUGAUCCGAUGAAUAUCAUGGAUUGAGGAUGCAAGUAGGUUAGCCUAUCUUCAUCUUCGAGAAGUGAAGUAAAUCUUAUCAUUUAGAGGAAGGAGAAGUCGUAACA